rnacentral:rRNA from 1 species
UGGGGAAUCUUCCGCAAUGGGCGAAAGCCUGACGGAGCAACGCCGCGUGAGUGAAGACGGCCUUCGGGUUGUAAAGCUCUGUUAUAUGGGACGAACGGGCGUAUGGUCAAUACCCAUACGCCGUGACGGUACCGUAAGAGAAAGCCACGGCUAACUACGUGCCAGCAGCCGCGGUAAUACGUAGGUGGCAAGCGUUGUCCGGAAUCAUUGGGCGUAAAGGGCGCGCAGGCGGUUCGGUAAGUCGGUCUUAAAAGUGCGGGGCUUAACCCCGUGAUGGGAUUGAAACUGCCGGACUGGAGUGUCGGAGAGGAAAGCAGAAUUCCUAGUGUAGCGGUGAAAUGCGUAGAUAUUAGGAGGAAUACCAGUGGCGAAAGCGGCUUUCUGGACGACAACUGACGCUGAGGCGCGAAAGCCAGGGGAGCAAACGGG